UACGUAGGGUGCAGGCGUUAAUCGGAAUUACUGGGCGUAAAGCGUGCGCAGGCGGUUUGUUAAGACAGAUGUGAAAUCCCCGGGCUUAACCUGGGAACUGCGUUUGUAACUGGCAAGCUAGAGUGUGGCAGAGGGGGGUAGAAUUCCAGGUGUAGCAGUGAAAUGCGUAGAUAUCUGGAGGAAUACCGAUGGCGAAGGCAGCCCCCUGGGUUAACACUGACGCUCAUGCACGAAAGCGUGGGGAGCAAACAGGAUUAGAUACCCUGGUAGUCCACGCCCUAAACUAUGUCAACUGGUUGUCGGGGGAGCAAUCCCUUGGUAACGAAGCUAACGCGUGAAGUUGACCGCCUGGGGAGUACGGCCGCAAGGUUA
rnacentral:rRNA from 1 species